rnacentral:tRNA from 2 species
GCGCCUAUGGUGAAAGGGAUAUCACGCGAGAUUCCGGUUCUCGUAUUCCAGGUUCGAAUCCUGUAGGCGCG